GACGAACGCUGGCGGCGUGCUUAACACAUGCAAGUCGAACGGAAAGGCCCCGCUGUGGGGUACUCGUGGGGCGACCGGGGGGGUAAUACGUCAGUAAUCUACUCCCGUCUUCGGGAUAACAUCUGGAAACUGGGGCUAAUACCGCAUAGGAGCUCCUGCUGCAUCGUGGGGGUUGGAAAGAUUCGGCGGUUGGGGAUGGACUCGCGGCUUAUCAGCUUGUUGGUGGGGUAGUGGCUCACCAAGGCUUUGACGGGUAGCCGGCCUGAGAGGGUGACCGGCCACAUUGGGACUGAGAUACGGCCCAGACUCCUACGGGAGGCAGCAGUGGGGAAUAUUGCACAAUGGGCGGAAGCCUGAUGCAGCAACGCCGCGUGCGGGAUGACGGCCUUCGGGUUGUAAACCGCUUUCGCCUGUGACGAAGCGUGAGUGACGGUAAUGGGUAAAGAAGCACCGGCUAACUACGUG
rnacentral:rRNA from 1 species